GAAAAUAAUUUCCCUUUAUUAAUCUCCACAUUCAUGUCCCUGGAUCCUUCUGUACUUGUGAGGAAAAGGCAGAUGGGAAUUAGAUCUUAAAACAUAGAGGUAUGGAAAAGUCCACUACCAUUCCUUGCCUCGGCAGAGGUGGUGGUCUGUCCCCUCAUCGAGAUGUGGACUGGGAUACUCGAGAAGAACAAGAGAAUGGCUGACGCUGAUGGCUUGCAAAGGAAACCUGAGAUUACAGAGACUCUGGAAGUCUCUUGUAUUAGACAUUCAACCAGAAUCUCUGCAAGCUGAAAACUCGGACUUCAACAGCCCUUAAGCAAGGAACUCAGACCCAAGAGACAAGGCAGGUAGUGAAACAAAAGACCAGAGAUACCACACAGUACAAAAUAGUAAUUAUUUAUAUUUUCAAAAAGAAAAAUUAACAUUUGGAAGUUCUCCCCUGCAGGAAGAGGGGCUAGUCAGAAGGAACAGAACGGCUCCUAUGCAGGCGGCAAGUCAGGUACAAACAGCGGAGCAAUCAGGGCUGGGGUUUUGUCACAUGGCAUUAAUGACAACAUUUCCUUUCUCUUCUUUUGUUCUGUUUGUGCUGUGUGUGUGUUGUGUGUGUGUGCGCUGUUUUUUAGAAAAAGGGUGAGGUGGGGGGGAGAGAAAUAAAAUCAGAGAAAAAUGCCAAAAAACAUUUUCCACAAUAUCUAAAAACAGAGAACCAUAGUUCUUGUCAAGACAGUAUGAAUUCUGGAUGAGUUAUUUUUUCCAGUUUUCAACACCAAUAAAGAUUUUUGCAAAAGCCACCACAUCAGAACACGCAUUUUCCAGAUCAAAUAACCUCCUUCCCCUUUCCCCUUCACUUGUCAUUUUUCAUAAAUGGAUAAAAGGACGUAUUCUGUUCUUGCAAACAGUAAGUGCUAACAACGAGAGCUCUUCUGAUACUUGUAGGUGGUGAGAAGCUGUCAUAAACAGUCAAGUUGGAAGGACUAACAUUUGUUUCUCUCAAGAUAAAUACUAUUGGAAUCCACAAACUGAUUUUUGGGAAAUUCUGCAAAAAUCCUUUCUUCUUUCCUUUUCCCUUCUCUUAAAACUCCAUGUCCUUUCUUUCUUUUUUUUUUUUCCUUUUUGCUCCAGGCACCUGACGAUUUGUUCUGCUCAGUCAGAUGCAGACAAGUUUCUCCGAAGUACCACCGCUGGGAUGUCCUCGGGGCCAGCGCCUAAACUGCAUCCCCAUAGUAUCAAACCUGGCCAGGCCAAGGGAACACAGUGACGCAGCAACA